GCAGGUAUGCAUAGCAACCGGCUUGCGCUCCUUAGAAAGUGACAUAUUGGUUGUUUAUCCAUAAUUGGGAUAACAUCAAUACACGAUGAAACAAUAAAAGAAUUAUUGCACCAUACUGGGAGACAAAAUGUUGCAAAUGAUUGAAAAGGACAAAACGCCAAGCAGAGCAGAGGAUAGCAAGAGACAUCUAACUACGAAGGCUGCCGAAAGUAAACUGACGCUUUACCAAUUGGGUGGGGGACUGGGGGUACCUCCCAUGUGGUACUUAUAUAGUAGUUAACUACUGUAAGGUGAGGUUGGUGAAUACUGACAAAGGGAAACACAGACCAAAUGCUCUGGUACACAAACUAUCUCAAAUUUUGCACUGAAACUCACCGCCAACACAGCAGCUAUCUUGUCAACAACAUGUGAUCAACAGGCUCCCACCAUCACAUCGUCUGUAUUUAUAGGGGCAACUGGUAUCUGGCCUAUCAAUCGCAACAUCUUCCCAUAUGAUGCAUUUGUAGGAGCACAGUUAACAGAGCAACCAGCACCACCUUUGAACUUUGCAGUAGAAGUUACUCCAACUUCUUCUGAUGAAGAGGACUGCGUGGCUGAAGGUUAUAACUCAGAAGUAGUGGACCCUCCUGGUCCAUUUCCCAUGCAUCCAGAUGAUGACCUGUCCCCUGCUGAUGUGAUGGUGGAACCCUGCUGGCAUCUCCAAUGACCCUGCCAGCCCAGGCCCUAGCUGCUCAACUAGUCAUUCGCAACACGUCACCCCAGAAAGUGUCAGGCUGUUCCCCAACGCAGCUCCUCAUCCUUAUGGGAAACACAUAAGGUGGUACGGCCCUGCAUUCUUACCGAGAAUGAGGAGGCCAUCGCAUAUCUGAGAGUGAAGGCAGAGAAGAGGAAGACAGAGAAGAAAAAGAAGGCAUCAGCUGAAAAGAAGUGCUCAAGUCACAGGAAGUCUGUCCCUGUAGUAGAGGAUGAUAGUGAGGAGGAAGAUGCUACUACUACUAUUCCUUUGCUGUUCAAUGACUCCUCAGAGUAUUACUUUUUUGCUGAGAAGGCAUCAGAGGUGAGGAACUUCGUACUCGUUGAAAUGUAGCUGGGCGAGGGAAGGAACGUGGGCUCAUUGGUGUGCUACAUUGCCCAGGUCUUGGCCAUCAUGGAGGAUGGAGUUUCAUCUUUCUUUCCUGGCAUGAAGUCCGCUUUCUUCAAGGACACCUUUACCUUUCCUACCAUUGUAGAUGAAGCAUCUGUCAAGCCAGAGCAGUGUAAGGGUGUCCUGGUAACGACCAAGCAUGCCACCAUGAGGCAGGCUGACCUGGUUAAGGUUUACCCCUCCCUCCCCGAUUGCCUUCAACAUGCACGUCUAAUCCUGUAGUAGCAUACAGGCUAAGGUGUUACAGUGUACAUAGUUUUUUCUAUUAAUUUUCAUAUGUUUAUACUGUGAUUUAAGGCUAUCUUAGUUAAGUUCGUUUUUGUCAAAUAAAUGUUUUUUUAUUU